UACGAAGGGGCGAGCGUUGUUCGGAUUUACUGGGCGUAAAGGGCGCGCAGGCGGCGCAUUUUGUCAGAUGUGAAAUCCCCGGGCUUAACCUGGGAACUGCAUUUGUGACUGCACGGCUAGAGUGUGUCAGAGGGGGGUAGAAUUCCACGUGUAGCAGUGAAAUGCGUAGAUAUGUGGAGGAAUACCGAUGGCGAAGGCAGCCCCCUGGGAUAACACUGACGCUCAUGCACGAAAGCGUGGGGAGCAAACAGG
rnacentral:rRNA from 1 species